rnacentral:lncRNA from 1 species
GUCUAGUGACGGUGGCUGCCGCGAGCGGGCGGACGCUCGCAACCUCUGAUGGAGGGGGGCUCAAGUUCACGGCUGCGGACGGGGAUGCGGGGGAUGCAGGGACCCGGGAGGCCAGGGAACCUGGCCAGUUGUUUUGGGCCAGGGGUGCGGGCGAGGGGUGGUUGUUGUUUCCCCACUUGUGGGGCCCGAAGUCAUCCACCGGCGGCCGCCACCGCGCGGGGCUGGAGGCUGAGAAUCCAAGUACGCUGCCACCCCCCCGCACUUCCGGGGGGGCGGGAAUACCGCCCUUAAGGUGGCUCUGUGAAGUCCCAGGUGGGGGCGAGCCUAAGGGGACUUAAGUUUAGGGGCGGUCUCCCGAGAGUCGGCCCCCCACGUUGAGAACACUCCGAAGUUUGCAUCUCGGUCAAGUUCAGGAGCGACGGUCCGCGGGGUCGUCUGGCUGCUCGUAGAAGCCGAGAGAUUUGUAUUGCCCGAAACUGGACGCUCAGCUGAGUCUCCGUUGCACCCCACUUCAUCCUCCGGGACCGUGGGGGAAAGGGCGCGGGGGUUCACAGCUUUGCCUCGGAGGGGCAGUUUUUAUAGUGGGCGCAAUUGGUGGGUAACAGGGUCCAGAUGGGAACAAGCGUGUAGGCGAUCCGAAACUCGGGGAACCCCGGUGUUAGUCUACUCCCCCUCCCGCCCCCGGACAACACGCACACGCUUAACACAACACGCACAACAUAACGCGCGCGCGCGCGCACACACACACUCCAUCCGCGCCGAGUUGCUUCCGGGAAAACAAGCCCAGAAGGCGGCGGACACUCGCAUAAAGUCACGCAGUAGUACUCGGAGCCCGGGGUAGAACCUGGACUUCAAAUCUCUGCACUCCCGGCCGGGUGGUGGGCGCAUAUCCUGGGUAGCCUCUAGGAAGCGCUAGACACAUGGAACCAAGGCAGAUUCAGCCUGGCAGCUGGCAAGUCAUGGAGCACUGCCUGUCCAUCUGCGAGCUAACAACAGUCGCGCUGGAAGUCAACAAGGGAAAUGGAAAGGGAGAGACCCAGCCUCCACAGGGGCUCACGCCCUGGGACCUGUGCCAGUGUGAACAAGGUUUUCCGGUUCUAGCCAGAGGAAGCUGCAGCCAGGCCUGGCAGUCUCCCCUGCUCCCUUCCACCAGCUUGGUUCCUGUUUCUGCUGGUCCUGGGAGCCCCCAGCAGAUGGACUGCCCUUAUCAGCCGGCUCCAGGCCAGAGGAGGAAUCCUCCGGUCACGUGUGGCUCUCUGGAGGGAGAGAGACCUCAUAAAUACAUACAGCCCACGCAGAGGAAGGGGGGAGGGUCAAGGGGAAAGAAACCUUGACAUUCUGGCGACUGGGCCAGGAUUAAAGUCCACCAGGCAUAGUCCUUAUUGGCUAUUUCUAUGAGGAAUCUCAAAUCCACAUGGCUUCCCUGGAUGACAACGCUGACUUUGACUAGCCCUGGGAUCUGGGGCAUUCCCAGUGUGCUGCUGGCUUGAUCCAGGCCUAAUCCUUUGCCCAGGACUGACCUUUCACAGUUUACAGAGCACUUUAUCUCCUGGCUCAGUGAAGUCUCACAGAACCCUCCAGAGAGAAGGGAGUUUAUCAUCACCCUCAAUUUACAGAUGAGGAAGCUGAGGCUGCGAUUGUAACUGACUGACUGCUGGCUACGCAGCUACAAGUGACCGAGUCCAGCCUGAAAGCCACAUAUAUUCUCCCACAAAAUCCAGAGCUGCCAAACACAUCCUCCUCCAUGAGUCUUGCUUUGUGCCCAUCACUGAGCUCCAUGCCCCGGGCGAGCCAUCGUUCCUGCCUGGCGAAGUCCACAAUCCAAUAAGGAGGGAAGGUUGAAGGGAUGAAUCUCAACAGAAUUGUGCACAGUGAAAGAAGCCAAUGAAAGAAGAGUACAUAUUGUAUAAUUCCAUUUAUAGAAAACUCUAGAAAAUGCAAGCUGAUCUACAGUGACAGAAAGCAGAUCCAUGGUUGUUUGGGGAAGUGAGGCAGAAGGAAAGGAUUCAGAGAAGCACAAGGAACCUUUUAGGGUGGUAGACAUGCUUACUAUCUGGUACUGAGAGUUUCUCAUGUCUGCACGUAUCUAAUUGUACACUUUAAAUACACACAGUUUAUUGUAUGUCAAUUAUAUCUCCAUAAAGCUAUUUAAAAAGAGGAACGUAAGUGGGGAAAAGAAUGAAGGAAGUUGGCUGGCGUAUAAUUAAGUAAGUCUGUGAGCAGUCUUAAAGUGGGGACACAAAGUACCAUGGGCACGUAAGAGAAGAAGGUAGAGAUUCAUUCCCAAACGGAAGAGAUCAGGAAGGAGUUCUUAGAACAGGGUUUCAACAAAGCUCAAGGUAUGGAUAAGUAAGGGUCAGGUUAAGAAAGAUUCAGAUGGAAGAUACAGAUAGAGUUUAUUUGGGAAAUAGAGAGUGGAGUAUUAUACACACGCACAAUUCGCCUUUUUACCCAAGUUUUGAAGGACUGAAGUUAAAACUAACAGCAACUAUCCUCUCUUUUCUUCAGAAAUUCAGACACAUGCCCUACUUGGCAGGCAGCUAGUUUUGCUAAUAAGAUUCCUGCCCUUCUCCCUCCCUCUCUGUGCAUCUCAUCCCUUCGGUCCCGCUGAGGCCCCUACCCUCUCGGAUUUCCUCUUUGAACUGAACUGCCAAAUACUUGCCAGCUUCCAGGGCCCUGAGUACCCACAUUUCAGCCUCUUCCAAACCCCAGAGUAAGAAGGAGAUUUGGGGAGUUCUGGGUGGGCAUGUGAUGGGAGACUAGGUCCAACAUAAAAAGAUAUUUCCCUUUUUCUUCCAUACUUUUUGGCUUAGUAAUUGACAUGUGACCAUUGGAGAAUUUUGAAUAGUUUAUUAGAAUACAUUGUGAUAGAGAAGAAGGAAAUUCAAGAAUUGUUACAAUGUUGUACACUGAUUAACUGGCUAAUUUGCUGCAAAACCAAUUCUGAUCACUGCUCUUAUGGUUUGUAAUACAUUAUUUUGGGUUUGGAUGAUCCUGUUAUUCAUAGCUUUACAUAAAGAAAUAUUCCAAUGACAUAUGAAACCCAUAUAUGAAAUUGUGGGUUAGCUCUUGCUUUCAAUUUUGUAUUAUGUUUGUUGAUUUUAAACUGUCUCCUUUCAAAAGUUUCCUUAUUAAUUAAAUAAACCACUCAGCCACAUUCCCCUCAUCUAACUCAGUACCCAAGUGUAAGCUCAAUUCUGGAGUCGCCUUUCCAACCUUGGCUUAAGGGACAUUAGUCACUAGGAACAAAACAUGGCAUUUGAACAGCUGUUUUGGGUAUUCAGAGUCCAAACCCUACAGGUCUGGAGAAGGUGGGGGUUGGGGGAAGGAAACCAAUAUUUACUUACUGAAUACCUACUCUGAGCCAGGCACUGGGGACUUCACAGAGAGUAUGUCUUUUAAUUUUCUGAACAGCUCAUUAAUGUGUUCUGCCUCCUCUAGGCAUAGCAAGGUUAAGAAUUUAUCAAAGAUCACACAGCUCAUAAGUGGUGGAGCUGGGACUUG